CGAGUGGGGGUUCAGAGCCUGCUCGCCCCAGCGUCCUCCAGGCGGUUGGCAGCGCCGCCAGAAGGAAGCAAACUUUCCCGAUGAUGAAGACUUCUUGAAGGAUUUCAUGGGUGACUUGGGAUCCCAGGACCAUUUGGCCAGUGUGCCUAGGUGACCACAUAAUUGCUGUUUUACCAGGAAUACAGCAUCCCAUUGACAAAGCUUAAGUGCUCUGAGAAGGUUUAAAAUACUACAGAGAAUAUGGGAACACAGACCUUGAAAUUUAGCUGAGUUGUAACAGCUGAAGCUCUAAGAGGUGUUUUCCCUGUUUGAGGUGAAACUAGUGUUGCUUCCAGAGGGCAGCUGGGAACCGUAAAGCUGUUUGGAAAUCUUUUUGACUGACUUGCUGACAGAGAGGUACUGUGAUGCAUUUUAACAAUAUCUAAGUUGAUUUUUUUUUAAAUCAAGGAAAAUAAAAACCAAGCAUGAAUGCU
rnacentral:sRNA from 1 species